rnacentral:rRNA from 1 species
AUACGGAGGAUCCGAGCGUUAUCCGGAUUUAUUGGGUUUAAAGGGAGCGUAGGUGGACAGUUAAGUCAGUUGUGAAAGUUUGCGGCUCAACCGUAAAAUUGCAGUUGAUACUGGCUGUCUUGAGUACAGUAGAGGUGGGAGGAAUUCGUGGUGUAGCGGUGAAAUGCUUAGAUAUCACGAAGAACUCCGAUUGCGAAGGCAGCUCACUGGACUGCAACUGACACUGAUGCUCGAAAGUGUGGGUAUCAAACAGGAUUAGAUACCCUGGUAGUCCACACAGUAAACGAUGAAUACUCGCUGUUUGCGAUAUACAGUAAGCGGCCAAGCGAAAGCAUUAAGUAUUCCACCUGGGGAGUACGCCGGCAACGGUGAAACUCAAAUGAAUUGGCGGGG